ACGGAGGAUGCAAGCGUUAUUCGGAUUUAUUGGGUUUAAAGGGCGCGUAGGCGGAACGAUAAGUCAGUGGUGAAAUCCUACGGCUUAACUGUAGAACUGCCAUUGAUACUGUUAUUCUUGAGUACACUUGAAGUGGGCGGAAUUUCUCAUGUAGAGGUGAAAUUCUUAGAGAUGGCACAGAAUAUCGAUGGCGAAGGCAGCUCACUAAAUUGUAACUGACGCUCAUGCGCGAAAGCGUGGGGAUCAAACAG
rnacentral:rRNA from 1 species